AACCAGCACCUCAAGUGGUCAGGAGGAUUAUUGGGCCUAAAGCAUCCGUAGCCGGCUCUGUAAGUUUUCGGUUAAAUCCAUGUGCUCAACGCAUGGGCUGCCGAAAAUACUGCAUAGCUAGGGAGUGGGAGAGGUAGACGGUACUCGGUAGGAAGGGGUAAAAUCCUUUGAUCUAUCGAUGACCACCUGUGGCGAAGGCGGUCUACCAGAACACGUUCGACGGUGAGGGAUGAAAGCUGGGGGAGCAAACUGG
rnacentral:rRNA from 1 species